rnacentral:misc_RNA from 1 species
UAAAUUGAGUGGGACUCUUAAUUAAAUUAGGAUUUAGGUGACUAACACUAUAAAUAAAAAUAUUGUGAAAAUGUUAUUUGGCUUUACUCAUGGAAAGUGGCUUUGCUCAUUAAAGAGAGUGGCUUUCAAUUCAAGGUGUAGGGUUGUCGCUCAUUGUAGAGAGAGCUUUUGCUAAUUGCUGAGGAUUUGGAUCUGUCCAUUGACGAGGGGCUUUUACCCAUUGCAAUUCUAUAAAGAGAAAGAGGCUUUGGCCUAAGAUAAAGAAAUGUCAUAAUCCAAGAAGAAGGAAUUAUAGCUCAUUGUAGUUGAAAACACCCAUUUGUG